UGGGGAAUAUUGCACAAUGGGGGAAACCCUGAUGCAGCGUCGCCGCGUGAGCGAAGAAGGCUUUCGAGUCGUAAAGCUCUGUCCUAUGAGAAGAUAAUGACGGUACCCUGUGAGGAAGCCCCGGCCAACUACGUGCCAGCAGCCGCGGUAAUACGUAGGGGGCUAGCGUUAUCCGGAUUUACUGGGCGUAAAGGGUGCGUAGGUGGUCUUUCAAGUCGGUGGUUAAAGGGUACGGCUCAACCGUAGUUAGCCUCCGAAACUGGAAGACUUGAGUGCAGGAGAGGAAAGUGGAAUUCCCAGUGUAGCGGUGGAAUGCGUAGAUAUUGGGAGGAAGACCAAUAGCGAAAGCAGCGUUCUGGACUGCAACUGACACUGAGGCACGAAAGCGUGGGUAGCAAACAGG
rnacentral:rRNA from 1 species